GGCCAUUUUGGGGACGUAGUGGUUGGCCGCCCUUGACCGGCCCCCGCCCGGCCCGUGGACCAGGAGCCUCCAGCCAGAGCAUCUUCUCUCCUCAGCUGCUGAAGAGUCCCCCGCCUGCCGGGUUCUCGACGGGAAUCUCUGUCCAGACUCCUUUCUGCCCUUCACCUACCUCCGCAUAAGCCAGAAUACUCUUCCGUCGCAUUCUGCGGAAAAUAUCUUCCCGGUCCCCCGACGUCAGCACCUCCUCCACUUCAGCUCCGUCUCCCUUUUCCCCAACCUGAGCUGGAUCCCAAUCUUGGAUUCUCCUCCCCUGUCUCCUGGCCUCCACAAAUCAUUCAGCCUGGCACCUUUUUCUCGGUAGGAAGAGAGACUUGGUUGUAUUUUGAGAAUAAGCAAGAAGAGUGAGCAAGAUUCAAGAGGUAGAGAGAGAGAGAGCACUCAAAGCCUGGACAUAGAAGAAAAGAGGCAAGAUGAUAUAUGGACACAGCACUGGACUCGAAGACAAAAUACCUGAUAUGGCAGCCACAGAGAUAUGUAGCUCAGCUCUCCCUUUAAGAAAGACUCUGGGGACUGCCCUGGUGGCUCAGUGGUUGAGAAUCUGCCUGCCAGUGCAGGGGACACGGGUUCAAGCCCUGGUCCGGGAAGAUCCCACACGCCACGGAACGACUAAGCCUGUGCGCCACAACUACUGAGCCCGCAUGCCACAACUACUGAAGCCCGCGCGCCUAGAGCCCGUGCUCCACAAGAGAAGCCACUGCAAUGAGAAGCCCGCACACCGCAACAAAGAGUAGCCCCUGCUCACCGCAACUAGGGAAAGCCCGUGGGCAGCUACGAAGACCCAA